rnacentral:rRNA from 1 species
UACGUAGGUGGCAAGCGUUGUCCGGAUUUAUUGGGUUUAAAGGGUGCGUAGGCGGCCCUGUAAGUCAGUGCUGAAAUAUCCCAGCUUAACUGGGAGGGUGGCAUUGAUACUGCGGGGCUAGAGUACAGAUGAGGUAGGCGGAAUUGACGGUGUAGCGGUGAAAUGCUUAGAUAUGACAUAGAACACCAAUUGCGAAGGCAGCUGGCUACGCGGAUAUUGACACUGAUGCACGAAAGCGUGGGGAUCAAACAGG